UCCCUGCUGGCUCAGUUGGUAAAGAAUCUGUCUGCAAUGCAGGAGACCUGGGUUCAAUCCCUGGGUCAGGAA
rnacentral:tRNA from 1 species